UAAUUAAAAAGCAUCAAACAAGUAAAGAAAAUGGACUUUAAAUUGACAGAGGUGAAACAACAUAGGAAGAGAACUGAAACUUGAGAUAGGUGAGGAGGCUGUAAGAGAACACCUGUCUGUUUCAAAGAAGUUCAUGUUUCGAGGCUCAAAUUACAUCCCACAGCUAUUUUCAGGUUACCUAAGACCCAUUGCUGGUCCUUAAAAGUGGAAGAGAGGGGCAGAAGAUGCCGCCAGAGUGAUGUGAUGUGAGAAGAACUCAACCCACCCUUGCUGGCUAUGAAGAUGGAGGAAGUAAUGCAGGUAGCCUCUAGAAGCUGGAAAAGUGAAGGAAACAGACCCUCCCCUAGAGCUUCCAAAAAGGAACAGAGCCCUGCCAACAGC